UACGAAGGGGGCGAGCGUUGUUCGGAUUUACUGGGCGUAAAGAGCGUGUAGGCGGCUAGGUAGGUCCGUUGUGAAAACUCGAGGCUCAACCUCGAGACGUCGAUGGAAACCAUCUAGCUAGAGUCCGGAAGAGGAGAGUGGAAUUCCUGGUGUAGCGGUGAAAUGCGCAGAUAUCAGGAAGAACACCCGUGGCGAAGGCGGCUCUCUGGUACGUGACUGACGCUGAGACGCGAAAGCGUGGGGAGCAAACAGG
rnacentral:rRNA from 1 species